GACGAACGCUGGCGGCGUGCUUAACACAUGCAAGUCGAACGAAGAGGCGCACGGGUGAGUAAUACGUGUGUAAAAUGCCCUCCUUUGUGGGAUAAGCCUUGGAAACGGGAUCUAAUACAGAAUAAAGGGGGAUGGGAUCGCGGCCUAUCGGCGUGUUGGUGGGGUGAUGGCCUACCAAGGCGGUGACGGGUCGGCGGCCUGAUAGGGUGACCGGCAACAUGGGGAGUGCGAGACGGCCCAGACUGCUAGCGGUGGGAGCAGUGGGGGAUAUUGCGCAAUGGGCGAAAGCCUGCUGCAGCGAAGCGGUGUGGGGGAUGAAGGUUUACGGGUUGGUAAACUCGGUCGCUAGGGAAUGGGUAGGUGGAGAAGAAGCGCCGGCUAACUACGUGCCAGCAGCCGCGGUAAUUC
rnacentral:rRNA from 1 species